rnacentral:rRNA from 1 species
GAUGAACGCUGGCGGCGUGCCUAAUACAUGCAAGUCGAGCGAACAGACGAGGAGCUUGCUCCUCUGACGUUAGCGGCGGACGGGUGAGUAACACGUGGAUAACCUACCUAUAAGACUGGGAUAACUUCGGGAAACCGGAGCGAAUACCGGAUAAUAUAUUGAACCGCAUGGUUCAAUAGUGAAAGACGGUUUUGCUGUCACUUAUAGAUGGAUCCGCGCCGCAUUAGCUAGUUGGUAAGGUAACGGCUUACCAAGGCGACGAUGCGUAGCCGACCUGAGAGGGUGAUCGGCCACACUGGAACUGAGACACGGUCCAGACUCCUACGGGAGGCAGCAGUAGGGGAUCUUCCGCAAUGGGCGAAAGCCUGACGGAGCAACGCCGCGUGAGUGAUGAAGGUCUUCGGAUCGUAAAACUCUGUUAUUAGGGAAGAACAAAUGUGUAAGUAACUAUGCACGUCUUGACGGUACCUAAUCAGAAAGCCACGGCUAACUACGUG